AUCCUUUUGUAGUUCAUAAGCGUGAUGAUUGGGUGUUCACGCGCAGGCGUGACAUGUGCCGCCUCAAACCUUGUUACGCACUGGCACAUUAUCCUUCUGACG